UAGUCCACGCCGUAAACGAUGAUCACUCGUUGUGUGCGAUACACGGCACGCGACUGAGCGAAAGCAUUAAGUGAUCCACCUGGGGAGUACGUUGGCAACAAUGAAACUCAAAGGAAUUGACGGGGGCCCGCACAAGCGGAGGAACAUGUGGUUUAAUUCGAUGAUACGCGAGGAACCUUACCCGGGUUUAAAUGUAGGACGAAAGCUUGAGAAAUCGAGCCUCCUUCGGGCGGACUACAAGGUGCUGCAUGGCUGUCGUCGGCUCGUGCCGUGAGGUGUCGGGUUAAGUCCCAUAACGAGCGCAACCCCUAUCGUUAGUUGCCAGCGAGUCAUGUCGGGGACUCUAACGAGACUGCCACCGUAAGGUGUGAGGAAGGUGGGGAUGACGUCAAGUCAGCACGGCCCUUAUAUCCGGGGCUACACACGUGUUACAAUGGUCAGCACAAAGGGCAGCUACACCGUGAGGUGAUGCUAAUCUCAAAAUCUGAUCUCAGUUCGGAUC
rnacentral:rRNA from 1 species